GCUGCUGUGUGCAGAAGGCAAGCAGCGGCUACCCCGGGAGAUGAAACAGUUGCUUCUGAGUGAGGCGUGGUGAGCUGUGCAGCCCUCACCUGAUCCUUAGCGACGCUGGAGCGCCUUGGACUGCGUGGGCAAGGCAGCUUCCUGUCUGAAUGCUCAGCCAGGAGGCGUUGAGCUCACCCGCACCAACAACCCUUCAGGCGGAGGAGACAGCAUCCUGGAAGACAGUGAAAGGCGAGCACACGGUGACCACGUCCAUAAAAAGGAUACAGUCUUCACUGAUGAGUUCAAGGCAUCCUGUGCUUGGCAAAAGUAGCUGCCUCCGCCAUGGUGUUACCCUUGCAGGAGCAGCCUGCCUCUGCGAAGGACCGGUAGUCUGGGAACACAAAGGUUCCAUCCCUUGACUCUGUCCAGAUGUUCAUGAAAGGCCACCCUUGUUCCAGAGUGCCCAUGAGCCAGCAGACUGCUCCCAUUCAGCGUCACUGAGGUGCGGUUUCUUCUUCCUUGUCUCCUGGGUACCCAAGUAAGCCCCAGGGCACAGACUCUGUUCCGAGCCAGCUGAGUAACCUAAGGUACCAAGAGCGUGUUCCUGCUUGGUCAGUAGUUUUGCCCUUUGUCAUUAAGGGACCCAGUUCGCCUGCAGCUUGGGCAUUUACCGUCACUCUGGCUGGGCCCCGGGUUGAAGGCCAGUGCGGUGGUUUGAAUGAGAAUAACUCCCAGAGGCUCAUGUAUUUGAUGAACUGUUUGGGAGUGUCCGGAAGUGCGGCCUUGUUGAGGAGGUGUGUCAUUGGUGGUGGGCUUUGAGGUUUCAAAAACUUAUACCAGGCCUAGUAUUUUCUGUCUCUGUCUGUCUCUCCAUCCCUCCCUCCCUCCCCCAUUCUCCCUCCCUCUAUCCCUCUCUCU